rnacentral:tRNA from 1 species
GAGAGUGUAGCUCAAGUGGUAGAGUGCAUGCUUAGCAUGCACAAGGUCCUGGGUUCAAUCCCCAGCACCUCCU